AGCGAACGCUGGCGGCGUGCCUAACACAUGCAAGUCGAACGUGAAAAGGGAAACCUGAGUAAAGUGGCGUACGGGUGAGUAACGCGUAGGUAAUCUACCCCAGAAUCUGGAAUAACCUGCCGAAAGGCGGGCUAAUACUGGAUAGAGCGAGGGAACUCGUAAGAGAGUUUUUCGGGCAAGGGAGCCCGCAAGGGCCUUCGUUCUGGGAUGAGCCUGCGUCUCAUUAGCUAGUUGGUAAGGUAACGGCUUACCAAGGCGAUGAUGCGUAGCUGGUCUGAGAGGAUGAUCAGCCAAACUGGAACUGAAACACGGUCCAGACUCCUACGGGAGGGAGCAGUGGGGGAUCUUGCGCAAUGGACGAAAGGCUGACGCAGCCACGCCGCGUGAGUGAAGAAGGCCUUCGGGUUGUAAAGAUCUGUCGGAUGGGACGAACAUCUUCAUAGUGAAUAGCUAGGAGGACUGACGGUACCAUCAAAGGAAGCACCGGCUAACUCCGUG
rnacentral:rRNA from 1 species